rnacentral:lncRNA from 1 species
AAAAUUAUAUCACAUGUGAAGAUUAAUCACAAAAAAAUUCAGGUCAAUUGGAUUAAAGAUGAGCAUUUCACAAAGCAAUGAAUGUAGCAUAUCAAUUUGGCAUAAGGUUCAAUCAAAAAUUCCAAAAUAAAAAUCUAGAAACAAAUAAAUCUUGACAUUAAUACUAAAAAAUACUAGACAUUAAAAAAAACACAUGAAAAAAAAUUGGAAUCAAAUUGAAGCAUUUUACUAUUUUUUAUGAUUUUUCAAAGUUGAAGAAAUAAAAUGAAAUAAAAUGAAAUAAU